AUACGUAGGUGGCAAGCGUUGUCCGGAUUUAUUGGGCGUAAAGCGAGCGCAGGCGGUUUCUUAAGUCUGAUGUGAAAGCCCCCGGCUCAACCGGGGAGGGUCAUUGGAAACUGGGAGACUUGAGUGCAGAAGAGGAGAGUGGAAUUCCAUGUGUAGCGGUGAAGUGCGUAGAUAUAUGGAGGAACACCAGUGGCGAAGGCGGCUCUCUGGUCUGUAACUGACGCUGAGGCUCGAAAGCGUGGGGAGCAAACAGGAUUAGAUACCCUGGUAGUCCACGCCGUAAACGAUGAGUGCUAAGUGUUGGAGGGUUUCCGCCCUUCAGUGCUGCAGCUAACGCAUUAAGCACUCCGCCUGGGGAGUACGACCGCAAGGUUGAA
rnacentral:rRNA from 1 species